UACGUAGGGUGCGAGCGUUGUCCGGAAUUAUUGGGCGUAAAGAGCUUGUAGGUGGUUUGUCGCGUCGACUGUGAAAUCCCGCGGCUCAACCGCGGGUCUGCAGUCGAUACGGGCAGGCUAGAGUUCGGUAGGGGAGACUGGAAUUCCUGGUGUAGCGGUGAAAUGCGCAGAUAUCAGGAGGAACACCGAUGGCGAAGGCAGGUCUCUGGGCCGAUACUGACGCUGAGGAGCGAAAGCGUGGGGAGCGAACAGG
rnacentral:rRNA from 1 species